rnacentral:rRNA from 1 species
UGCAGAGAACUUUCCAGAGAUGGAUUGGUGGCCUUCGGGAACUCUGACACAGGUGCUGCAUGGCUGUUGUCAGCUCGUGUCGUGAGAUGUUGGGUUAAGUCCGUAACGAGCGCAACCCUUGUCCUUAGUUACCAGCACGUUAUGGUGGGCACUCUAAGGAGACUGCCGGUGACAAACCGGAGGAAGGUGGGGAUGACGUCAAGUCAUCAUGGCCCUUACGGCCUGGGCUACACACGUGCUACAAUGGUCGGUACAAAGGGUUGCCAAGCCGCGAGGUGGAGCUAAUCCCAUAAAACCGAUCGUAGUCCGGAUCGCAGUCUGCAACUCGACUGCGUGAAGUCGGAAUCGCUAGUAAUCGUGAAUCAGAAUGUCGCGGUGAAUACGUUCCCGGGCCUU